ACCAUAGUCUUACGCCCGGUUCCAAUAUCCAAAAAACGAAUCGUUUUAUAUUACGAUCCGUUACAAUAUCUACGAAUCGUAGGACAAAAUAGUUCCUAUAAAAACGACUCGUUUUUAAAAUUACUGAUGACUUGCUACUAACGGAUGGGAGGGCUAACAUAACGGUUCGUACUGCGUUUUGUAUGGAGACUGUUGUCUGUAGUGUUCCUAUAUUAUUUUAGAAAUGUCAGUGAGCUGUCAGAACUACCACGCGUAGAGCAUUUUUUAACCUACCGAUUUUGUUCGGUUGUGCUUUGGAAUUUUUGUGUUUGUGUUUUUUCUUUUAAAAUGUCGAGUUCAGAAAGUGAUAACGAAGUUUUAAUGUUACUGAAUUCAAGCGACGAUUCAAGUGAUGAUACGCGAAGUAAUAGAGUGUAUAAAACAAGAAUCAAUUAUUAUUCAGAGCUCGAUAAUCAGGAGUUUCAACUAAGAUUUCGGCUCGACAAGCAGUCUGUGCAAUUACUGUUAGGUGAAAUUUAUCCUUUGUUAAAGGUAAAAGGAACCAGGAAUCAUGGAAUAUCUCCCUUACAUUACAAUUUAUCAGUUUGUAAUGAAAUAAACGAACAACAAAGUACGACGCUAACACAAUUUUUUUGGUAUUUUGGCGCGGUCCGGCGACAUCUGGCGUUUCCUUUGUCUCUUCAUGGCGUUUUGUUCACUUUACAGUUAAAACUAAAGUAACUGUUUUUAAAUUGUGAAUGUUCAAAUAAAAUUACAUAUGUGAUGAAUUACAAUUAAUUUAUAUUAUUUUAAAAUAUUUAUGUAAAAAUACUAAUAAAAACUUAUGUAUUUUGAAAA